UAAAUCAAUUUGAACCCAGUUCUCCUGACUUGUAUCUGAGUUCUUUUUCUGUUACAACAUGUUUGACAUUUCAUAAUAGGUGCUCAGUAAAUAUUUAUGCAAUGAAUGAAUCCUCAUUGUGAUUGUCUUUGUUACCAGGCAAUGCAGCUUAGUCAACAGAGCAUAUUUUAGAAUCUAAAAUUUAGAUCAGCACGUCAGUUCUAAAACACAGUGAUUCUUUGACUCCUGUCUUCAGUGACCCAUGAACAGACCAGACUGGCCAAAAAGGAAGGAAGUGAUUCAUCAGGUCAUUUGGACAAGGACUUCAUUUCCCAAUAUGAUGAGUCUUUCAGCACUUGCCCACAGCGAUAGGAGCUUGGAGGGAAUCAGACUCAGAACAUCUGUCCCGCUGGUUUCAUCUUGCGUGUAAAUGAGCUACGAUAGCAACAAUUUCUGUCAUCUUUGUCACUGAUCUGGAAUGAAAGUUACCAGAGAGCCUCUUGAGAAAUGUGGUAGAGAUAAUUGUGAACCCUGCAAAAAUACAGACGCUCACUCUGUCGCCAAGCUGGAGUGCAGUGGCGUGAUCUCGGGUAACUGCAACCUUCUCCUCCCAGGUUCAAGCGAUUCUCCCUCCUCAGCCUCCCGAGCAGCUGGGACUACAGCCCUACCUCUGGACCCAGGCAGCCCUAUGGAUAUUCCUGGUGCUUCCCAAUGUUGA
rnacentral:lncRNA from 1 species